UUGGAGUUCUAUUCCCUGGUUUUCUACGAUACUCCAAAGCGAAGGAUCACCAUAUUCAUGAUAUUCUUCAUGGUGGCGUCGUGGAUUCGGCGUAUUUGACGGCGGUUCGUGGAUUCGGAUCGUUGGCUCGUGGAUUCGAGUGGCGUCGUGGAUUCGGCGUGAUUGAAGCUUCGUGGAUUCGAAGUGGAGGCGUUCGUGGACUCGAACAUGAGGGCGUGGACAACCCGGAGGGUAGCGCGAAGAUUCAUAGGAGGUUAAGAGAGGUUGAGUCCGUGGAGUCGGUAAUCACCUUGUAAUCUUUUCUCUUAGUGAAUUAUUUUUUCGCGUGUUGGUCCCGUGGGUUUUUCUCCAAGUUGGAGUUUUCCCACGUAAAUCUCGGUGUGCUUUUUAUUUUCCGCAUUUAUUUUUAUUGCAUCGAGAUUUGUGGUUUUUUGGCCUUUCACCUAUUCACCCCCCUCUAGGUGAUAGAUACAAUCUAGAUAGAUCC
rnacentral:lncRNA from 1 species